rnacentral:rRNA from 1 species
AUUGAACGCUGGCGGCAUGCUUUACACAUGCAAGUCGAACGGCAGCGGGGGCUUCGGCCUGCCGGCGAGAGGCGAACGGGUGAGUAAUGCAUCGGAACGUGCCCAUGUCGUGGGGGAUAACGUAUCGAAAGGUACGCUAAUACCGCAUACGUCCUGAGGGAGAAAGCGGGGGAUCUUCGGACCUCGCGCGAUUGGAGCGGCCGAUGUCGGGUUAGCUAGUAGGUGAGGGAAAGGCUCACCUAGGCGACGAUCCGUAGCGGGUCUGAGAGGAUGAUCCGCCACACUGGGACUGGGACACGACCCAGACUCCUAAGGGAGGCAGCAGUGGGGAAUUUUGGACAAUGGGCGCAAGCCUGAUCCAGCCAUGCCGCGUGAGUGAAGAAGGCCUUCGGGUUGUAAAGCUCUUUCGGCCGGGAAGAAAUCGGCGACUCUAACAUAGUCGCUGGAUGACGGUACCGGACUAAGAAGCACCGGCUAACUACGUGCCAGCCGCCGCCGUAAGAC